GUCUCAGGCCGUAUCAGCCUGAAGGCGCCCGAUCUCGUCUGAUCUCGGAAGCUAAGCAGGGUCGGGCCUGGUUAGUAUCUUGGAUGGGAGACCACCUGGGAAUCCCGGGUGCUCGAGCUU
rnacentral:rRNA from 1 species